CGGUGAGUAUAAAACCCUGAGUGAGCUGCUAAAGAAUGACCAGAUCGAAUUAUCCACAUCGUCAACGUUUAUAGCUUCAAUUUCCGAGUUUGCAUUCCACCUCUCAAGAUGUUUAAGACCAUCGUACUUGUACUUGCCAUCGCAUUGAUUGCUACUGCUAUGCCCCAACGUGGCGGUGGAUACGGAAAUGGAGGCGGACAGUAUGGCGGACAGUAUGGCGGAUACGGUGGGCAUCACGAUGAUGGGUAUCGGGGACAUAAUCAGGGUCAUGGCCAGGACCAUGGCCACGGCCAUAACCACGGUCACCAUCGAGGAUAUGGUCGUUAAAUCAAGAAUCGAUAUGGCGAACCGGAAAUCGUGAAACAAAUAAUACGUUCACUGAUCGUUCGGGAUGUGCAAGAGUCCUGCGUCGAGCUUCAAAUUUUCCGAAAAUUUUCCACCACUUUGCAACAGUCCAAUGAAACCAGAAAGGACAACAUCUAUUUUAAAUUAAAACGCACCGUGUUCUUUUACGCUUUCUUAACUUUUCGUUCUUUGUAUUUUCUUUUUUAAUAUGUUAUGGUUACGCGCCAUCGAUGUAAUACAAUUAUUUGUUCAUUCCGUUACAGGAUUUUACGAAUAAAAAUAUGAUUACAUCGAUUUUUCAUCAUGAUUGUUUUGUUCUAGUACGUAAACUUGGUAUAUUAAAUUUUUAAUCGUGUUAGUGGAUGGAAUUAAUUCUGGGUGCAGUAUUGUUCGGAAGCCUUCCUUCAUUUGUCAAUCACUGACUAUACUGAGAGAAAAAUUUACCCAUUUAAAAUAAAUGCUUUCAUUAACAUUAGGUGAAUAUUAGAACUUACGAGACUAUGAAAAAAUAUUUCGCUCUAGAAUGGCUUAAUGAAAUGCGACGUUACCACGUCACAAUAUAGCAAUGAAAUACUUCUAUUAAAUAAAGGCAAUUACUCAUUA